ACUAUAUUGCUGUCAUGCUACAGCUGCUACACGCGUGGCAGUGAAGACGAGGCUACUAUUUGUCGGGCGAGAAAGUCGUCUGCAGUCGGCUUUUCACAAAUUGACAUUACCGCAUUAGAUAUAUCACACGAACAGCGCAACAACCAACCCAGUGGUUUUACGAUUAAUAUAGAUAUCAACACCUUUUAGUUACUGUUAUUAUUUCUGUUUUUUUCUUUCUUCUUCCCCACUCUUACUUAAAUAUUUCAAACUAAAAUUGCAUUAUAAACUACUUUCAUUGAUUGAAACAUAUAUUAUAUAUAUGUUUUUUUUCUUCUUCUUCAGUAGAAGAGGAGUAUAUUAAAUAAUUUGCAAAUCAUUUUUAUUAAGGAUUAAAAAAAAAAAGAAAAGAAUCCCCUAACCCCAGAAGGAGAGGUAUGUCAGUGAUGAAGAUGGUGAUCAAAACAAGUGUGUACUGCGUUUAUAAUUAUGGUUUCACUUGAUAAAGAAAGGUUGUAUUUCCAAAUAAGUCAAGGAAAGAAUAACCAAAAUCAAAUAAGGUUCUUUAACUUAAUUUAUUUCUAUUUUUAUAUAUUUUUUCUCCCCGCGAUCUUCCUAUAUUCAUAAGUUAUUGUCAUCUUUUAAGAAUAGUUACAAAAAAUAUAUAUCAAAAUAUCAAACCCAAUCAAGGUAGAAAAACAUAAAAAAGGCCGUUGUUUAGAAAACACUAGAAACCAGAAUGGUAUCUCAGGCGGAUUUUCAAGUACCACCUCUUCCUCCUCGAUAUCGCUUCAGGGAUUUAAUUUGGGGAGAAUCUGGACAUCAGGACGAAACCAGGUAAAUUAAUUAAUAAUGUUGAAAAGUAUUUCGUUGAAUAUUUCCUUUCUUUUCUCUUUUACUCAUUCUUUGAUUAUAUUUCCUACUUUCGAUUUCUUUUUUUUUGUUUUGUUUUUACCUUUUAUUUUUCAAUUGUCUUUCUCCUCUCCCGUUACCAAUUAUUCGUUUUUCUUUUACAUCUCAGUUUCCUUAUAUUCUUUAUAAAUCUCAUUCCUGACUGUUAAAUACUCUUUAUUUAAUUUCUAAGUUUUACUUUUUUUUUCAUUGACUUUUUUUACUGUCUUUGAUCUUUCUCGCCUGCUGUCAAUAUACUUGUGCCAAUUCGCGUGUUUAUAUACACACACACAUAUAUGUACACACGCUUAUAUAUAUAGAUAUGUGUGCAGUUGUGUAUAUGUGUGCAUAUGCGUGUAAGGAUCGCAACGUGACACAUUGUAACAAUAGUUGUCACGCGUGGCUAUUCAAAAUAUUUCAAUGUGUCGAUAUGAACGGUAAAUUCACAAUAUGUUCUUAUAUGUCAACGUGUAUAGUUCUAUUUUACUGUUUUUAUAUGCAAUUAUAAAUGUUGUUGCUAUAAAUAAAACUAAAGCAUAAACGAAAAUUGUUGCAUCAAAUACAGAUAUGCACGCAUAUUAAAAUAAUGAUUAUGCAUAUAUAAACAAUACAAUGCAUUUAAUGUGCGUGUGUGUGUGCAGUCGCGUGCACAUGCAAAACAUUGUUUUGACGUCCAAUUUCCUUGCUUGCAUGGGUCAGACGGAAUUCGUUGAGGCAGAUUUUCUACGGCUGGAUGAACUUCCUCACAUCAACCUUCACCAGUUUCCCAAGUAAGGGAAUGUGCUUUUUACAGAAAACUGGAAACGAAUAGCAUAAUUUGUAUUACGAUGGUGCUCGCUUUACAAACAUCACGUGAUGUCAUACACACAAACAAAUAUACAUAUGCACGCACGCACAUACUCACACGUAUAUAAUAUAUACACACACACACUCACGACUGCUUUCUUUCAAUUCCCAUUUACUAAAUCCAGUGACAAGACUUUAGUUGGCUCAGGGCUGUUGUAAAAUAAACUCUUGCCCUAAGUGCAGCCCAGUGGAACUGAACCCAAGACCACAUGGCUGGGAAGCUAACUUCUCAACUACAUAGCACCUGUGCAUGAUCCCUAACUUAGUGGUUCAGCAAAAGAGACUGAUAGAAUAAGUAGCAGGCUUACAAAGAAAAAGUCAAGGGGUUGAUUUUUUAAACUAAAAGACAGUACUCCAGCAUGGCCACAGUCAAAAUGACUGAAACAAAUGAAGGAGUCAAAAAGAAGAGUAUAUGUAUAUAUGUAUAUUUAUAUACAGACUGUAUAUACAUAUAUAUAUUAUAUAAAGACUUUCUUACUUUCCGAGUGUUAAACUAAUGCAUCUGUUUGUUGUUUACACACCCGUCUUCAUCUUUUGUUUUGUUUGUUUUGUAAAUUCCAACUAUAUAUUUAUAUAUAUAUAUAUAUAUAUAUAUAUAUAUAUAUAUAUAUAUAUAUAUAUAUAUAUAUAUGAAUAAAAAAUGGAGUUAACGCAGGUUUAAACAAGUAUUUUUACUUUCUACAUAUGUUUCAAAAAUUCCACUGAUACUUAUUCAAAAGAAUAAAAGGUAUAAACAAUGCAAUCUUUACUUGUGAGAUUUUUGCUGCCCUGGUAACUAUUCAUUCAUUUAUCCAUGUUAAUUGUUAACAAGGUAAAAUACACUCAUCUAUUUAUAUAUAUAUAUAUAUAUAUAUAUAUAUAUAUAUAUAUAUAUAUAUAUAUAGUUGGAAUUUACAAAACAAACAAAACAAAAGUCUUUUACGUUUCGAGCUGACGCUCUUCAACAGAGAGGAACAUAGAAAUAAGCAGAUAGAGAAAAUAAAAAGGUUUAGUGGCUCGUGAUAAAUCAUGAUAUAUAAUAUAUAUACAUACUGUAUAUACAUAUCUAUAUAUAUUUAUAUACUGUAUAUACAUACAUAUCUUUAAAUGGCUAAAUCAAAAGAUAUCCAGUAAAGACCCCGAAGAAACUGCACCAGUUUUAUAGUAGGGUUGCAAUUGCAAUAGUUUCUAAUUGUUGCAACUGAAACAUGUGUUGGUCUAUGUAAGACGGUAUAUAAAUUUAAGUAGUAAAGGUAAUGCUAUGCAACUUUGUAGUAAUCCUUAUUAUUAAUAUUGUUAAUAUUUACACUAUAUGGUUACGGAAAUAUAAAGGGUAAAGACCCCCUUCGGUCAUGAAUGACCAUGGGAUUGCACCUAGAAAGUUACCCUCCUAGACACAAGUCCGGGCAAGGUUGUUUAUGGAAGACCAGAAGUCGCCCAUGCACACCAGCCUCCCCUCUCCACGCCACCAGUGUUAUCCAAGGGAAAGACAAAGGUCGAUACAGCUUGGCACCAGUGACGUCGCAACUCAUUUCUACAGCUGAGUGAACUGGAGCAACGUGAAAAUAAAGUGCUUUGCUCAAGAACACAACACGCAGCCCGGACCGGGAUUCGAGCUCACAACCUCACGAUCGUAAGCUCGACGCUCUAACCACUGAGCCAUGCGCCUUCACAUAUAUAUACGGAAAUAUAUAUAUAUAUAUACACACACUUGCUUAUAUACAAAUGUAUAUGCAUUAUAUAUAUGUGUGUAUGUGUGUGUGUAUAUAUAUAUAUAUAUACACACACUUGCUUAUAUACAAAUGUAUAUGCAUUAUAUAUAUGUGUGUAUGUGUGUGUGUGUAUAUAUAUAUAUAUACACACACUUGCUUAUAUAUAAAUGUGUAUACAUUAUAUGUGUGUGUGUAUACAGGGGUUGAAUAAAAUAAUGGAAACGCAUUAAAAUUUCUAACAAAUUUAUGUUAAUACAGAGUAGGACUGCCUUUGGUAGUAAUUACAGCUUGAAUUCUAUAAGGUAUGGACUUGUACAAAGUUUGAAUUGUUUCCAAAGGAAUUUUUGUCCAUUCUUUAGCUAAAACAGUCUUCAGUUCUUGUAGUGAUGAUGGUGGAGGAUAUCGAAUCCUUACUUGUUUUCUACAAUGCACCGUAAAUAUUCAAUAAUAUUGAGAUCUAGGAAAUGUGGUGACUAGAUAAGAUGUUCAACUUCAUUAGAAUGUUCCUUUAAAUGUAAUAAAAUGUUUUAAAAGGAAUUUAAAGUGCCACUGUGAUAACUGUAAACCUACUUUUGGGCUACCCUGUAUAUACAUACAGCAGGGUAUCCAUGUCCAGAUAUAAACAGUUUGCUAAAUGAACAAAUUGGGUAAUGCCUGGUUUUUCUGAAGAAAAUUAAACUCACAUAAUGAGCUGAAAUUUGAUCAAAGGACCAUGAGCUGACUAUGCACAUGUAUAAGUGACUGAGAACCUAUUCACUUAAUGAACUAAAAUUUGAACAACAAAUUGUGAGGAGAUGACACAAUGGUAUACUAAAUGAAUAAACUGUAUAGCAAACAGGUUUUUAGAAGGAAAUUAUAUUCAGCAAAUGGGCUAAAAUUGGAACAACAAACCACAAGUAAACUAAACAUACAUAUAAGUGUCUAGGGGAGUGUGUUCAAAAUGGUUUGUUAGAAUACAUGUAUGUAUUUCAUUAUGCAUAAACAGAUGCAAGACAAAGGGAAAAGAACUCACACUUACAUGCACAUGCACAUACACACACAUACACAUACACGCACACACUCACACUCACACACACACACACACACACACACACACACACACACACAUAGUAUAUACGAGUAAGUGCUGAAAAGUUCCUGGCUUUGGGUAAAAGAAGAUAUAGGAAGAUCUGUUAAUUAUGAUUAUAUUCAACAUAUUCCCUUCUCAGAUUGCAGUAGUUAUUCAUUUUUCCUUAAGCCAUGUAAAAGAACUCAAAAGGUUGAGCUGCUAACCAGGCCUUUCGUGAUUUCCUUGAAAGCCAGGAACUUUUCAGCACAUAUAUUUAUGUAUUUGAUGUUGAUAGAUGGACAAAUAAAACAUUAUUUGGUUCCUUUAUGUGGAAUCUGUGUGUGGCUUAGAACAGAUUACCUUUGUAUUUAAUCCAUUUACUCAUGUAGCAAACAAUUUAGUUAACAGACAGGAUGCUGGAACAGAUAAUGUCCAUGUAUGGAGACAUCACUGUAUAUGUGUAUGUGGCUUGUGCAUCACAUACACUUAUGUGUGAUAUACAUGUGUGUAUGUAUAUAUGCAUGCAUAUAUAUGUGUGUGUGUGUUUACAUUUACAUAUCUAUAGAUAUGUAUAAAUAUAGUCAUCAUAAAAGCAGAAAAUAUUUGUAUAUAUGUGUAUGUUAUAUAUAUAUAUAUAUAAAACUGAGAAUGUGUGUCUGUCUGUGUGUUUCCCUAAAACUUGAGAACUACACAACCAAUUUCAUUCAAAUUUUACAUAUGCCUUACUUAGGGUCCAUGUAGUUUCAUGGGCAAAAAAAUGUUCAACUUCUUGCCUAGGAUGAGCCCAUAGCAGUAUCAUAUCUUCUCCACUAUUUCAGUAUUACGUGUUAAAAGUGAAAGAAAAACAUCUCUCUAGUUUAUGUCAGAUACUUUCACUUUAACAAUAAAAAAUAGAGAUAAUAAUAGCAAUUGAAUUAUAUGUAGUAAGUAAUAAUUAAAAUCAAACUAAAGUAUAAUAUAAUAAUUAAAUCGUAACAUAACAAUUAAAAGUAAAAAUAGCAAUUGGUAUAAAAUUGCAUCAAUGACUUGAACUUGAAUAAGUGGCUUCACAUGAAUGGGAAUAAAUAAAAAAUAAAAUUUAAGUGCAGAAAUGGAAUAGUCCAGAUGGAGCUGUGCACAUACCCUUUACCACGGCUUUUACAUUAGAUUAUCUGCUAAUUAGCUAGCAUUAAGUAUCUAUAUGAAGUUUGGCUGUAUGUAAUGUCUGUUUUCUCGAACAGCCGCUUCUACUGAGUACUGCUGUUGGUUUAUUUCUGAUCCAUAAAGGACUAUAGCUUCAACUGAGUUCUGCUUUUUGAUUCACUGUAAGGUUUGUUGUUAUUAUUAUUACUGUUUAACUAUUGUUAUCGGGUUUGUUGGUUCCUCGUAAGGGAAGCGUUGUUGUGUUGCAUUUGUUAAAUAAUUGUAAACUGUAACCCUCCCCCUUUGGGAGAAGGAGCUUUGGUUAUUGUUUAAAAAUUGAAUUGUGUCCCUGUUUGGGGAAAUUGACAAUAUUUUCACCGUUUAUAUGGAAGCAUUUUUGUUAAAAUGUCUUUGAUAGAAGAAGGUCCAAAAAUGAAUUUCACUGCAGCCGUCAGUGGGCGCAAACUCAUUAAAAUUAAAAUAGAAGAAAUACAAGCCUAUUUCGGAUUGAUCACCGACAAAGAUGGGGAAUCUAGGAUAACACCACCAAACGAAAUAAAAAAUAAAAUUAAAGAAAAGACUAUUGUCUAUAAAGUAUACAAUGUAGAGAAAAAAAAAAGAUUUGAACACCUGCAGGAAAGCACCAUUGAGAAGUGUCUUGGUGCGACUAUGAAAGAUAUCAAGUAUCUAACCAGAGGCAGUAAAUUCACCACAAUAGAAGCAAGGUUUGAGUCAACGGGGCAUGCAAGGGAGUACUCGACUCGAACCUUGCAAAGUGGAAAUAUUUUAUUUUUGCCUUUAUAUCUGGGACGUAGGACGUCCCGAAUAAAAAUUAAAAAUGUCCCCCCAAAAGUAGAGGUAGGCUGGAUUGUAGCCACACUUCUAUACAAGAGGGAGGACAAGAUACAAUUGAUCGAAAUUGCAAGAGACGGGCCUACAACUCCAGUCUGUUAUAUAUUUUGAGUAUUGUUAUCACUAGCGAUAUCAAGAUAUAACUUUGUAUUUUGUAUUUUAUGUGUAGGUGUACAUAUAUAGAUGUACAUGUAAUAUGUACACAUAUCUACAUGCACUAGCACUAUGACCUGGCAACACUGGGUCAUAAUGCUAGUAUAUAUAUAUAUAUAUAUAUACAUAUGUGUGUGUGAGUAUCAUUUGAAGCAUUUGAUGAGAAAGCAGAAAAAGUAGAGGCAUAUAGCACUGAGAAUAACUAGAAGUUUGUACUAAACAACCUAUUGUGUUCUGUGUACCAAAUGUGUCUCAUGCAUAUUUUCAAUCCUCCUAAGGGUAGUGUGCUGAUAGAAGACAUAUAUUGCUAGCUCCAUAAAAGGAGAAUUUUCCAAUUGUUCAAAGCUUUUGAGCAACUGGAAAAUUUAGUGCAGCAGAAAAUUCUAUCAGAUUGCUAGAAAUGAUGUCCUGCAACGGUUUUAGUUAGCAAGGGAUGAAGUAGAAUGUAUGAGGUUUACCAAUGUUUUAUAAUAUGAGCUUCAGUGAUGUGAGGUGUUCCAGUUUACAAGGCUACAUAUCAGAAAGAACUGAGUUGCUAGAGAGAAGAAUAGCAACCUUGCACUUGAUGAUACUGAAAGAAUAGAGAUGUGGAAGUGCAACAGUGAAAGGUUAUUGAAUGUUGAGAAUGCAUGGGAAAAAGAGUGUCUUCCUGGUGAAUACUCAAUAGAGAGACCAGUCAUUCUGAAGGAGUAGAAAACCCCUGGUCUGUUAGGAAUUACUGCUGAGAAGCUUAAAAUAUCUGGAGUUUGAUACUGUUUAGUCACUUAUUUAAUCGAUGAGGAUGUAUUAUAUUCAUUGACAGUUAUAGCAACAUUAUAGUCAAGUGUUAUUAGGGUACAGAAAUAAAGAAGAUGCCUUAGGGAGAGGUAAUUACAGAUGUAUCAAAUUGUCGGACAGGUCAUGAAAGUUACAAAAAUGUUAUAGUUCAGUUAAUUAGGAAGAGAAUUAGCCCACAUGAGAUGCAGUUAGCUUUUUCUGUGUGGGAGAAAUACUACUGAUACUCGCUUCCUAAUGAGAUAACAGCUAGAUAAGUAUUUAGUGAAAAGUAAGCUGCUUUACUGUAGAAAACUUUAGACAUUGUUCCUCUGUCUGUGAUCUGAUACUCCCUAAGGAAGCUAGAAGUAGACAAGUGGCUUGUGAGAGAGCCAUACAAACCAUGUUCAGAGGAGUUGUUAGCAAAGUGAGAGCAACAAGGGCUAUAAGGAAUUCAUUGUAUAGGGAUCCACCAGGUGUUGGUUCUCAGUCCUCUUCUACUUAUCUUAGUCCUCCAAACCAUAAUAGAGAAGUUUAAAACUGGAUACCCAUAGGAACUCUUAUAUGUUGAUGAUCUUGUUCCUAUAGCUGAAUCUCAAGUAGAAUGAAAAUUGGAAUUCUGAAAUCAAAGAACCUCAAAGUUAGAUUAGAAAAGACCAAAGUUUUAGUAUAUAGGAAAAUAAACAGUACUCUACUUCUAUCAGGGAAAUGGCUUUGCUUGAUAUGUUAUCUUCCCUUCUCCCUGGAACCACUUCCUUUUGACACCCAUUCCUCAUUCUUAACAUUGUCCUACCUCAAUCUUCCAUAAAUCACCUUCUCUGUGUUAUAGCUUUCUCUCCCUUGAAUUAAAAUAAUAAUAAUAAUGAAAUUAUUGUAUACAGUGCUCAGGUGCAACACUUGUCAAAAGUACGUAUAAAGCAUAUGCAGUAAUGUACAAAUGUCUGGGAAGUAAACAGUGUAUGAGUCAGAUACAUGCUUGCGUGUGUAUGGUGGGGACAUCCUAUUGACACUCAUACAUGACUAUACCAUUUCAUAUCCACUCCCAACUGUCUCGCACCUUUUUUCCCCAUACUAUACUCACCCUGACAUAUUUAUGAACUCUUCCAACCCAAUCACUAUAUAUCUCUCACCCUCUCUCUCUCUCUCUCUCUCUCUCUCUCUCUGUCUCUCUCUCUCUUGCAACUUUACCACACUCUCCCAUCAUUUAUCUUUCAUCAUUUUCUUAUUUUUAGUUUUAUUAUUCUGCUGCACCUCACUGUUUCUGUACUAACAAUCAUUAACUUCUCUUCCCUGAGCUACUUUUACUGACAUCUUCCCAUUAUUAUCUCCUUUCUCCACCUCUCUGCCUUUAUCCAUCAUUCAUGAAAGUCACCCCUGACAUAUUUCUAACCAUCACUCUAACAUCUUUGUAGCUUUUGCCCAUCCACACUUCCUGAUUUAUCACUGUACUCUCUUCAAUUUUUGUUGUGGUUUCUGUGAUAUUGGGUGACUGCAACUGUAAUCCUUUUGUGUCUUCUUUCUCAUUCUUAGAGUUUCUUCAUAAGUCAGAGAUUGAGAUUUAUUUUGCUUUAAUUAUGGCCUUAUUUAUUUGGGUUUUUUUUUCUUUUUCAUAACUUUUGUUUCUGGAGAGAGAUUUUAUAGUAACAUUUCUCAUGUAGAUAAGUCUCUGUAUUGCACAUAUACACCUUGGUAUUUUAAAUGGUUUUUCUUUUCCUUUUAGUAUGGGGUCAUUUGCAGGAUCUAAAGGUUAAGCAGUGUUGUGUAUAUGUGUCUUUGCUGUAAAGAUCAGUGUAACAAUCACAUUGUCUUUAAUUAUCAAAAUGUUCAGACAAGGAAAUGUCCUUUCAUUUAUUUCUAUUGUGAAUUUGAUCAAUUUAUGAAUGCUAUUGAUUUUUGAAAUCUUUUAAGAUCUUCCUUAUUUCUGUUCUGAAAUAGGAAAGAAUCAUCCAGGAUCGGGGACCCUGUCAAAGGCUUUCUCCAUGUCAACGAAAGCCAGGUACUGGGGUUUAUCUUUGGCUAGGUAUUUCUCCUGCAGCCGUCUUAUCAGAAAUAUAGCAUCAGUGGUGCUUUUCCUCGGCACAAACCCAAACUGCAUCUCAUCUAGACUGACCCUCUCCCUAAUUAGUAGGGCUACAACCCUCUCCAUGACUUCCAUUACCUGAUCCAACAGCUUGAUACCUCUGUUAUUAUUUGUAUCUAAUGCAUCACCUUUACCUUUGUAGCGGUUGACUAUGGUGCUGCUACACCAGUCAUUGGGUAUGACUCCUUCAUGUAUCACCUGGUUGACUGUACAGGUGACUAGGUCAUAGCCGACACUGCCAGAUAUUUUGAGCAUCUCUGCAGUGAUUCCUGAUGGGCCAGGGGCUUUCCCUGUCUUCAUCCCCUUAAUUGCUUUAUCUACCAAGGCACUAUCAAUUUGGAUAGCUGGUCCCUCUGUUGGGUCAGCAUUUGGCAGGCUCUCUUUCUCCCAUUCAUUCUCUUUAUUUAGUAACCUUUCAUAGUCUCCAUACCUCUCUCUUUGCAGCCUCGUUUAAUGCAAGUGAACCAUCAUCCAUGCGGACACAUUUCUCUCCUACAACAUCACGAUUCUCUCUCACACACUGUCUUGCAACACAAAAUACCUCAAGUCUUUGGUCCUCAUGGUGCAGAACAUUGGCAAAUUUUUUCUUAUCUGCUUCCUCUCUGGCUAAAUAAACCUGUCUCCUAGCUUCCCUUCUGACAGUCUGGUACCAUUCCCUGCUACCACCAUUCUUUCAGUCCUUCCAAUCCUGAUUCUUUUCCCUAAUGGCCCUGUCAACAACAUUGUUCUACCACCAUGUUAUCUUGGGUUGAGAGGGGACUUUGCACCAUCCACAGAUCUGGUCAGUGGCCCUCAGCAGGUUGACCUGUAGAAACCUCCAGUUGUCUUCCACAUCAUGUGAUGUUAUAUCCCCCUCUAUUUCGUCAAAGGCUUUGAGUAAAAUGUCUCUGAAUCUCUGUCCAUUUGCAGGAUCUUUAAGCUUUGAGAACCUUCUCCUCCAUGCUGGUCAUUUUCUGGGCAUUCAUUUAGCCCUGAUAUAUAUAUAUAUAUAUAUAUAUAUAUAUAUAUAUAUAUAUAUAUAUAUAUAUAUAGAGAGAGAGAGAGAGAGAGAGAGAGACAUUUAUAUACAUACACACAUUUACGUGUGUGUGUAUAAAUUUAUGCAUGUGUGUAUAUAUUUAUAUGUAUUUAUAUAUAUGUAUAUCUUUCUAUAUGAUACACACACAUAUAUACAUGUGUGUUCCAUUAAUUGAUUAAUUGAUUAAUUUAUUGAUCAAUUAUAUAUAUACAAACCUUUUGAAACAUAUGGUCAAGCCUUUUGAAGCAUAUGUAAGCAAAUAGUCAUGUAAGAAUAUAAUUCUUUAUUCUUUGACUGAUUACUAUAUACAUACAUACAUACAUACAUACAUACAUACAUACAUACAUACAUACAUACAUAUAUAUAUAUAUACACAUACAUAUAUAUACAUACAUACAUACAUACAUAUAUAUAUAUAUAUAUAUAUAUAUAUAUAUAUAUAUUAUAUACAUACAUAUAUAUAUACAUACAUAUAUAUAUAUAUUUACAUAUACCUGGUGCGAUGUGAAAAUUGUCUCCAUUUUAUAUUUUUAAUUCUCCGCAUGCACAUAGUUUGUUUUUGAUUUUGUCAAUUACACAGUAUAGUAGGGUCAGCUGGGCUCCGUAUUUGAGAAAAACAGCACCAUGAUGCAAUUCACUCUGCCAGUGGCUGUCGCAGCUACUACCUAAAACAUAAUUGACUGGAUUUUUAUGUUGAUUUACAAGUCUACCCUUGAUGGAGCCAGAUACAUUCCAAUGUCAGUCAUUUUGGUAGUUUACUGUCUGUUUGAUGUCAAAUUUCUUUUCACCAGUGAACACCAGGUUGGGCAGUGUGCCUUCAGCAAUCUGACACAGGAUAAGACGACUUCUCUCCAUUUUCAUGGCCUUAUAAACUUGCAUGAGCUCAUGACAGUGGAUCAUCUUGAAAAGUUGGGUCCUGAGAUCUUCUUUCAGCACUCAAUACAUCAAUUUUCGAUUUAGUUUUGCUGUGGCAGCCUGUUUUCUAAUGGAACAACAGAGAUUUUGCUGUAUCUUUUCUCUGGAACUUUUGGUAAGCUGAGGAGUCUGCACACUUCUUUUUCAGCCACCAAGGAUUAUUUUCAAGCAAUAUAUCAUGCAAGUACUAUGAAAUGCUAGCUGAGAGCUAUAAAUGAGUCUUCCCUUUGAGUUUGUAUUUAGAGUGCUUGUAACUUCUAAGUCUUUAUGUUAUGGGUAUCGGGUAAUGCGUAAAAUUUGUAAGAAUGUAUAUUUCUGUGUGUGUGUAUGUAUGUGUUUCUGUACAUACAUAUUCAUGUUAAAUGCAAGUUAUUCUAAUGGAUUUGGAAUCCUUCCAAAGCUGUCAGUGAUUAUUUUCAAAUUAAUUUUCAUCAAAGCCCAUCCUCAUCAGUAUCCUCAUUGUUUAAUGUUCAACUUUUCCAUGCUUCCAUGCAUCAGAUGGAAUUUGUUGAAGCAAAAGAAGUGUGCUGAAAAAGAAGUGGAUGCCUUUCCUGUUGUCAACUCUGUUUCCAAGCCUUGUGAGUGGCUAGACAUAUUUUUUUACAGAAGAUUAGAAAUGAACAACAUUGCUAACAUGGAAGUGAUGCUCUUUUAUAACCACCAUGUAAUGUCAAGGCAAAAGAUAUCACAGUUGCACAAACACACAUAGAUACAUAUGUAUACAUAUAUGACAGGCUUCUUUUAGGUUCUAUCUACCAAAUCCACUCACAGGGCUUUGGUUAGUCCAAGGUUAUAGUAGACAACACUUACUCAAGAUGUCACACUGUACACAGUGUACCACAUUUAACAAUGUACUUGCCAUACUGUCUUUUAUCAUAAUAACACAUCAAUCAGGCAAGUUAAUGAUUUGUCUUAUCUAAUCACGGGAACUAUUUUUGUUCGGAGAUAUUACUUUCUGGUGUGAAUGCUAUCUCCUGUAACAUCUCCAGAAUAUACUCGUUAUUCAUGAUAUUUGUAUUAACUCAAUAGAACCUUAAGUGACUUUUUAAUGGCUGUACCCCAGCAUAGCUACAGCCUCUGGCUGAAUCCAAUGAAAGGAAAAGCAAAUAAUGGUAAUAACAAAGGUCAAUAAUGUAAUAAGAGAGUGAAUAAUAACAAAAUAAGUUUUACUGUGAAAACAAAAACAAUUUUGUGAUUGCUACAUGCACUGAAAACCUGAAGAACUUCUGAUAAUGCUGAAACUGGAUGUACAUACCUUUUUUAUAGUAUUUACACCAGAAGGAACAGUUCUAAUUACAAUGACAGUUAAUUGUCAAUUUCCAUUUCACAUAACAGUGUUGUAGCUCCUUAUAAUUGGUUGUUAUUUAAUAUAUUAGUAUAUAAAGCAGUGAGCUGGCAGAGACAUUAGCAAGCUGGGCUAAAUGUUUAGCAGUAUUUCAUCUGUCUUUAUGUUCUGAGUUCAAAUUCCACCGAGGUCGACCUUGUCUUUCAUCCUUUUGGGGCUGAUAAAUUAAGUACCAGUUGCAUAUGGGGAUCGAUCUAACCGACUGGCCCACUCACCAAAAAUUUUGGGUCUUGUGCCUAGAGCAGAAAAGAAUAUUACCAGUAUGUUAGUAAUAUUUAGCACCUACUCUGUUCUAAUAAUGUAUUUUGGAAGAUGAAACAUAUCGGGUUCAUAAUAUGAGGUAAGAAGAGGAAGAAUUCAAGAGAACUGUUGACAAUAAUGAUGUACUUGCCAUACUGUCUUUUAUCAUAAUAACACAUCAAUCAGGCAAGUUAAUGAUUUGUCUUAUCUAAUCAUGAAAUCCUUUUUUUAUGUUCGAAUAUUACUUUCUGGUGUGAAUGCUAUCUCCUAGUAACAUCUCAGAAUAUACUCGUUAUUCAUGAUAAUUGUAUUAACUCAAUGAGAACCAUAACUUGAAAUGUUGAAGGUAGAGAGCUAUGCUUUGCAUCUAAGAGUUCUAAGGACACACACACACCAUGCAUGCAUGCAUAUAUACAUACAUACAUACAUACAUACAUACAUACAUACAUAUGUUUGUAUGUAUAUAUGUAUGAAUGCAUAUAUGUAUCAUCAUCAAUGGCAGCAACAUUAUUUAAUGCCUGUCUUCCACACUGGCUUCCCAACCACACAGUUCCAGGUUCAUUUCCACUGUGUGGUAUCCCAAGCAAGUGUCUUCUACUAUAACUCCUAGAUUUGGAAGAUAUUAGUAUAUAAAGCAGUGAGCUGGCAGAGACAUGUAUGUGGUGCAUGGAUGUGUAGCUGUUUUACUUUCUUCUUGUCUUGACAUUGCUUGAUAGUUGUAAUCAAGUGUCACUAUCAUAUAGGAAGUGUCCAUUGUUUCCAAUCUUCUGUGUAAACAUGCCUUGCCGUGGAGAAAUAUUACUUUACUUGGAGACAAGUGAGGGUUGGCAAAAGCAAAAAAUCCAGUCUUAGAAAAGCCAACUCAAUAAUUCCUUGCAACCAUGUGAGCAAGGAAAAGUAAACAUUGAAAUGAAAGUGGUGUGUGUAUGUGUGUGUGUGUACAUACAUACACACACACAUAGAUAUCUUCACACACACACACACAUAAAGGUUACUGUUUCCUAUCCCCACCUGCCAACUGCUUAUCAAGUUUAUCUUUCUAUUUGUGUGUGUGUGCGUGCGUGUGUGUUUUUCAUGAAGGAAGAUUGCUUAGAAUGUGUGUAGGUAAUCUUGUGUCAUGUAUUUAACGACACACACACACCAUGCAUGCAUGCAUAUAUACAUACAUACAUACUACAUACAUACAUACAUACAUACAUACAUACAUACAUACAUAUGUUUGUAUGUAUAUAUGUAUGAAUGCAUAUAUGUAUCAUCAUCAAUGGCAGCAACAUUAUUUAAUGCCUGUCUUCCACACCUCUUCAGCUGACUCACACCAACUCUCAUGCCAUUCCUCUUACUUUUGAAAUGAAGCCCAAUGUACCGUUAUUAUUUUAUAAGUUAGAGAGUGUGUGUGAAGAAACUAGUACAAGUGUAGAAUAGAAAAGUACUAAAUUAGUGUUUGGACUGAUCAACUUCUUGAACGCCAAGUUCUUAAUCAGGAUAAAGCAAUCCAGCAGAAUAAGAUUUGUCUGUAAGAAAUACAAAGUUCGAGAGAGUAAUAAAGAGUAAAGCUCAUAUGUAUGUGAUUAAGUGUCCAUUGUUUCCAAUCUUCUGUGUAAACAUGCCUUGCCGUAUGGAGAAAUAUUACUUUACUUGGAGACAAGUGAGGGUUGGCAAACACAUGCAAAACACACAAGUCUUAGAAAACCAACUCAAUAAUUCCUUAUAUGCAACCAUGUGAGCAAGGAAAAGUAAACAUUGAAAUGAAAGUGGUGUGUGUAUGUGUGUGUGUGUACAUACAUACACACACACAUAUACACACACAAACACAUAUAUUACUGUUUCCUUAUCCCCACCUGCCAACUGCUUAUCAAGUUUAUCUUUCUAUUUGUGGGACACUCAACAACUGGUUUGGGAGCAUCCGGUGGUGCAGAUGUAUCUCAUUGGGUGAUAAAUAAAUAAAAACAACUCAUUAAAAUUACUGUUCCGCAAUGUAACUUACUGUUUUGUAGAGAGAAAAACCGCCAGACGGAAGAAAAAUCUUCAUAUAUAUAUAGAAGAUCAAAAAUAAAAUUGCAGAAGACAAAAAGAGAAACAAACACAUAAUCCAGCAAAAAAAGCAUUGAAAAUAAUUGUUAACAGAUAUGGAUGUAUAAACGCUCUUGGGCAAGCUGCAUGGCAUGAGUACACGUGCUCACACCAACUCUCAUGCCAUUCCUCUUACUUUUGCACUCAUGAUCACAAACUGAGUUAGUUAUUUACUUGGUGUUUAGAAGAACAGGGAGGUUAAAAGUAAAUUUAAGUCAUCCAAACCUUAAAGUAAAUUAAAUUACAUUAAGUUAAUGGUCACUCAAAAUUCAUUCUCAACCGCAUUGCGCGAAAGUACAUUUAUAUGCAUGCAGACAUCUUGACAGUCGUUCAGAAAUUCUAUUAAUUAUCUUCUCGUUAGUCCACAGAAUAGACAGGGAUUCCUUGGAGCAGAAUACAGCAUCUCCUGGAAAUUACAUUGUAUGUGAUUAAGAAAUUCACUUUGCAAUCAAAUUGUUUUGAGUUCCAUCUUCCUAUAUGGUAUUUAGGGUAAAUGACUUCUUCCAUGGGGUCAGGCUGUGGCAGUACAUUUAUAUACAAGAUUUGUACUCAUACAGAUUCAUCAAAGGAUAUUUUCUGAUUUAUGUCUGCAUGAGCAUUUAUCGUAUUUAUUUGUAUAUAAAGCAUACAUUUACUCCAUUUACUGGCAGUGUUGUGCUAGCUGUACCAUGAGUAUUUCUACUAUUACAAAUUGGUCGAAGUUGGUGAUUAUCAAUGCAGUUUACCUCUCCUUGGUUGGUAUUUAGAUGCAAAUGUUUGCUAGAUCCAGUAGGUGGGUUAUUGAACCUUUGCCACAUUUUGCUAUUGUCUAUGCGAUGCAUAAGCUGCUCUAAAUUAGCAGAGUUGGCAUAGGAUACCUUCAUGGUAUGUUGAUGCUUGUAUGAGCACGUGUAUGUGUGCCAUGCAGCUUGCCCAAGGGCGUUUAUACAACCAUAUCUGUUAACGGUUAUUUUCAAUAUUUUUCUCAUUGGGUUACAUAUUUGUUUCUCCUUUUGUCUUCUGCAAUUUUAUUUUUGAUCUUCUAUAUAUAUAUGAAGAUUUUUCUUCCAUCUGGCUGUUUUUCUCUCAACAAAACAGUAAAUUACAUUGUGGAACAGUCAUUUUAUCAAGUUGUUUUUAUUUAUUUAUCACCCGAUGAGAUACAUCUGCACCACUGGAUGCUCCUGAACCAGUUGUUGAGUGUCCCACAAAAGGAAUUGAUGCUAGAUGUAUAUUCCAUCUUCUGUCCUUCAUUUGUUUUAUAUAUAUAUAUAAGUGUGUGUGUAUAUAUAUGCACACACACACACACACAAACAUUAUGUUUUUUUACUUCUUUCAAUCAUUUGACUGCCACCAUGCUGGAGCACAGCUUUAAAGUGUUUUUAGUUGAAGAAAUCGAACCCAGAAGUUAUUCUUUGUAAGCCUAGUACUUAUUCUAUCGUUCUCUUUUGCCAAACCGCUAAGUUAGGGGGGCACAACAGGCUUCUUUCAGUUUCUGUCUACCAAAUCCACUCACAAGGCCUUGGUCAAGUGAGACUAGCAGAAGACACUUGCCCAACAUGCCAUACAGUGGGACUGAACCUGGAAAUAUGUGAUUGGGAAGCAAGCUUCUUACCACACAACCAUGCCUGCACCUAUGUCACACAGCCAUGCCUCUGUCUAUUAUAUAUAUAUUGGGUCAUCCCAUAAAUAAAGUGUUUUUUUUAUAUACUUCUUUUAUUUUUUAAAAUUAAGAUAAAGUUCUUUUUUAAUUUAAAAUAUACUCACCUUCAUCUUCUACCAUUUAUCUGGUAAGCUUGCAAGGUCCCUCUUCCAAAAUUCACUUGUCUGUGACAAAAAUACUCCUCCAGUACUGUUCUGACCUCAUCUACAGAAUUCAUAUUUUUUCUGUCCAAAUAAUUUUGAAGACUGCUGAAGAGAUGAUAAUCAGAUGGGGCAAUGUCCAGCAGAUAUGGUGGGUGGGAAAUCAUUUCCCAUUCAAACUUCUCCAGUCUUUUGAAUGUCAUCCUUGUUGUAUGCAGCUGAGCAUUAUCCUGAUGGAAGAACUUCUUUCGUCUUGAAACCAAAGAUAGUUGAUUUUCUUCUAGCACUGACUUAAGCCACUCAAGCUGAUCACAGUAGAUCUUGUUUGUUAUUGUUUUGGGGUUUAAAAGUUCAAAGCGGACUAAACCUUUCAUAUCGUACCAAAUCGAUAACAACACCUUAUGUGGGUGAAGGCCUUCUUUAACCUGGGGUGCUGGUGUUUCUCCUUCCCCUACCCACUGUCUUUGGCACUUGAUAUUUUUAUAGAGGACCCAUUUCUUGCCACCAGUCACUAUUCGAUCUAAAAAAGUUCCAUUUAUGAGAUGUGACAGCAAAGAAGAGCACACAUUCACUCUCUGUACACAAUUAGACUUGGAAAGUUUGUGAGGAACCCAUUGUUCCAAUUUGCUAACUUUUCUGAUGGUACACAGGUGUCGACAAAUGGUUGAGUGAUCAAAUCCAAGCUUCUCUGCUAAUUCCUCAACAGUUAUGAUGGGAUUUGUUCCAUCAGGGUUUGCAGGACAUCCUUGCUGAGCUAUACAAGGCUUGUCUUCUAGGGUGUCGUUUCCAGCUUGGAAUUUCUGAAAACACCACUUACACUUAUCAUCCGAUCCCCAUAUACUGAAUUAAUAUUCCCCACACUUUCUGGUGUGUUGUUACCUUUAUUGAACUCAUAAAGCAAAAUAUGCCAAAUAUGAAAUAUGCUCCUUUGUCACUUCUAUUAUAGCUUUGAAAAAAUAACUGUUAAAAUCGAACCACACUCUUCAAAACCUGCACUAAGAAUAAGGACAUAAAAUUACUACCUGCUUUUAUCGCAAGUUGAUACAAGUAGUUUAACCCAUCCCCCUCCUACUUUUAGUUCAUGCAAUUGAAAAAACUGCAUUAUUUAUGAGAUGACCCAAUAAAUAAAUAAAUAAAUAAAUAUAUAUAUAUAUAUAUAUAUAUAUAUAUAUAUCCAGAGAGGUUAAUUUCAUCAUUAAGAACAUGGUGGUAGUAUGUUCUUCUCCAUCUGUAGAUUUUUUAUUACUGAGUUCACUUUGUAAUUUAGAUCUAUCAGUCAGGAGGGGGUUUCUAUUCUUGGUUCAAUGGAAAUUAAAAAAUUGUAUAUGUGGCUGAAGAUUGCUCGACAUUUUAAAACUGAUGUAAUACUUACAGUGUUUAAUAAAAUGAAGUAGCAUGAAACGAUUGUACUACACUACCUUGGAUAUCCUUGUUGCUUAUUUUGAUUAUAAUCACCCCAUUUGAUUUAUAUGGAUAAUACCAUACAAAAUUCUGGUGCCUUCAACUUAAGUACCAUAUUCAUCUGAAUCUAAAUUUUGCUGAACUUAUAUAUAUAUAUAUAUAUAUAUACUAGCAGAAUUUCCCGGCAUUGCUCGGGGCUGAAUUGCUUGAAAGUACUGUUAAUGAUUGCACUGAAUUAUGAUGAUUAUUCAGGCAAAUAUUGAUAUAAGUUUACGGUGGGAGAUAAGGACUUAACGAUCAAACGUGUGCCAUUGCAUUGUUUUGGGGGAACCAAAUUUCUGAUGAGCAUUAUAGGGGCACCAACUUUAAGUUUGAGAAAGUGUGGUGGUAGUCCGGGGUGCUCAAAGGAAUUGAGUACCUCUAUUGGAUAGUUGAUGACGUCCUCUGGGUCAGGAGUUGUAUCGAUAGACUGAUAUACAUAGACUUUCCCAGGAAUGAGUUUUAGCAUUUCAUCAUUAAUAUGGUGAACAGUUUUAUUCCUCGGGGCCAGUAUAGCCUUUUUGCCAAUCCAAUCCAUAUUCUGAAAAUUAGCUUGUAGAUCUGGGAACACUGCAUCUCUGAGAUCAGAAGGCAUCUUAACAAUGGUACAAAUGGAAUCGAUGGCAAUAUUACCAUUUUCAUCCCCUGGUAUUUUGCCUUUGCCAAGUGCAAGGAGGGUGUGAGGAAAUGCUGCUGAUGUGAUAUUACAUCGCAUAUGAGCACGCAUAUUGGUGUGAAGUUUGGGAGUUACUUCCCUUUAUUAAAAAAAAUAUGCAUUAAAAUGGAAAAAAAUGAUGCUAAAUUAUUUGUAAAAUCAUAGACUCAUCGUAGACGCACGCUAAUACCCAGAAGGGCUCGAUAUGAAUCACGACUAUAAGAUACCCGGUUUUGGUUAAACUGCAUCGCAAAAUGUGGGAGUAGUUAGGAAUCUAAAUCGGAGUAGACAGACACACAACCUUUCUUUUAUAUAUAAAUAUUUUCGUCCUAAAAAACUUUGUAUGGAUUGAAUGGUUACCUCUAUGGAAAUAUAUACACGCACAUUAUACAUACAUGUGUGUAUAGAUGAAUAUAUAAAUACAUUUAAAUAUCUAUAUACACUUUUGGGCGAUCUUUCUGUUUCUUAGAGAUAACUUUAGAUCUUAUUUUCGUCCUAAAAAACUUUGUAUGGAGUGAAUGGUUACCUCUAUGGAAAUAUAUACACACACGUUAUACAUACAUGUGUGCAUAGAUGAAUAUAUAAAUACAUUUAUAUAUCUAUAUACACUUUUGGGCGAUCUUUGUGCUACUUAGAGAUAACUUUAGAUCUUAUUUUCGUCCUAAAAAACUUUGUGCGGAGUGAAUGGUUACGUCUAUGGAAAUAUAUACACACACAUUAUACAUACAUCUGUGUAUAGAUGAAUAUAUAAAUACAUUUAAAUAUCUAUAUACACUUUUGGGCGAUCUUUCUGCUACUUGGAUAUAGGUCUUAUAUUCGUCCUAAAAAACUUUCCUGUCACACACUCACGCACACGCACACACACACACACACGCACCCUCACACACAUGCACACAUACACACACACACUCACACACACGCACGUUAGCUUGCAAUUUUAUUUAUAUAUUUGCGUGUCUAUGUGUGUAAAGAGGAAGUGGGAGGCAGAGUGAAAGAGUCACUCACUACAGAAAGUGAAUUACUUUCACUUUAUUCGUUGCACACUGUGUGUGUGCGUUUGCGUGUGCUGUAUCCCACACUAAGAGAAGCAUUUGACUCAUACACCACAAUGUGAGUUUUCUCUAAAUUUUGCUUAAUUGGGGUUGAAAUUUUAAAAACUGGACCUGGCACGACCCGAUGCAUUCUACUCUUAAAAAUGCUAGGUAAAUUGUAAUUGAAGAAAUCCUAUAUUGUAGAUUUCUAUAAGAUACAAAGGGAGGCAGAUAAAAUCUGCCUUUUAUAAUAAGAUAUAUAUAUAUAUAUAUAUAUAUAUAUAUAUAUAUAUAUAUAUGGUUAAGCUUCCUUGCUUCUAUCCAAGUUCCAUUUUCAGCAUGGAAAUGCUAUUAUAUAUUUUAUUGGCAUAGGCACAAAUGUGGGGUAGAAGUUUGUUUCCCCACCACAUGGUUCCAGGAUUAGUCUCAUUGCAUGGCACUUGGGCAAGUAUCUUCUACAGUUGCCUCAGGCCAACCAAAGCCUUGUGAGUGAUUUAGUAGACACAAACUGAAAUUAUUAUGUGUGUGUAUGUAUAAAUGUGUGUGUGUGUGUGUGCGUGUGUACAUGUGCAUGUACGUGUUUGUCCCCUACCACUGCUAGACAACUGGUGUUGGUUUGUUUACAUUCCUGUAGUCUAGCAGUUCAGCAAAAGAGACUGAUAGAAUAAGUACCAGGGUUAAAAAAUAAGUACUAGGGUUGAUAUCAUUUGACUAACCCCUUCAUGCGUGUUUGUGUAUAUGUGUUUAGGGUGUGUGAUUUUGUAUGUAUGCAUGCUUCAGCAUAACAACAGUCUCAUAUCUGAAGCAUGUAAAAAGUAAAAGGUAUAUAUAUAUAUAUAUAUAUCUUUCGUAUUAUUUAAAACAAUUUGACUUGGCCUCAUGUGACUUAAGGCUUCGUAGGCUCCUUAUAGAAACUUAGUUCAUUGGGGUGUUUCCAAAAGGAGAGAUGAAGAAAGUCCAAGAUGGCUCCAGGAAAUAUGGCUGCUGUUGGUCAAGGUGGGUCGCAUGGUGUUGUUAGAAGUGAGAUUAACGUUCCAGCAUACCUGUUCUUCCAGGCAAAGAUGCACACAUUCAUAUGUAUGCAUAUAAAUACAGGAAUGUACAUGCUCAUGUUCACCGAUCCUCUGUAAUCACACAUAUUGUAAACACAUAGAUGCACAUAUGCAUAUACAACAAGCACUAAUACGCACAUUCGCAUGUGCACACAUGUACACACACACACUCUUACUCAUACGAAUGUUACUCAUGCAGCUGAUAUACACAGCUGACACACACACACCUAUACAUUCAUACACACAAGUAGUCACAGAUGGCUGAUAGGCACCCACACCCAUACACACACACACCAGCAGCCAUCUACAUAUACACCAAUGAACUGAUGCCAGGAGCUCUUACCCACACACCCACCAGCUGACACACACAUGUCCCUCCCCCUCACACACACAUAGCUGAUGCAUAGACAUCAGAAACCCACCUCUAUACAUUCAUACAUCUGGUAUAUACACACACACCCUCACUGGCCAUGGCCAUGUAUUUAAUGACCAUGUGACACCAUGUGACCUGCCUUGACCAACAACAGCCCAAUUUCUGAUAGCCAUCUCCCCAUUUGUUUAACUGCAUCCCAACAAGCUAGGUUUCUGUAAGAAGCCUGCAAAACUUUAAGUCACACGGGGCUAAAUCAAACUGUCUUAAAUAGUAAUAUAUGUAACUGCCAAUAAAUGUGUUGAGUGCAUCUUUCUUUCAUUAGUCCACUCACAAGUUUGUGUGUAUGUAUAUAUGUAUGCAUGCAUAUAUGUGUGUGUAUAUAUAUAUAUAUAUAUAUAUAAUAUAUUUGAACAAGUAAAUAUAUACUAGCUGAAUUACCCAGUAAUACCCAGAAAAGCAGGGGUUAUUUCCAUUUCCCAUUCCCAUUACACUAUUUCAUUUCCUAUCCUAUUCGCUGUUCAGUUCCUGUUAUAGUUCUGCUCUCAUUACUAUCUCCAAUCCUAUGUCAAUAUAAUUAAGCCAUUAACUAUAUGGUUGAGGAAAAAGUUUGUGCGCUGUGUUAAAAUAAGGAUUUUUUAAUGCAAGAAUUUACUCAAAAACAACAACUAUUCUUCAAAAUAAAGACCAUCGUUUUCCAUGGAUUUGGUCAAAGUACCAAUCCUUUGGGUUUGUAUCUAAAAAUUCUUGACAAGCUUCUUUGAAUGAUUCAAAUCGACAACCUUUCAUAAAGUGCUGCAUUGACUGGAAGAGACCGUAGUCAGAUGGAGCAACGUCUGGUCUAUAGGCUGGAUGCAGCAGAACUUCCAUACUGUCCAAAUCUUCAAUCUUGUUGCUGGUCUUUCUGGUGGUAUGUGGCUUUGCAUUGUCUUGUUGAAACAAAGCACGUUUUCGACAAACAAGUCUUGGGUACUUUUCAACCAGCAUAUCAUAGACUCGAUCAAGUUGCUCACAGUAAAGUUCAGCAUUGAUGGUAUGACCAUUCAGCACACAUUUGGCACAUGAACUUUUUCCUCAGUCUAAUAUUUUAUUGAUCUUUAUGGUAAUAGUUUAUUGCUAAAAAUAGAUAUUACAAACUAUUAAUAUGAUUAGUGGAUGAAUAAGGAAUGUCCCUAUAUUAUUUUGAUAAACAAAUAUGCAUCUGAAUAAAAUAAAUGAGUUGAUUAGUUAUACUGGGAAAGCGGGGAUUAUUCCCAGUUCCCUUUUACCGUUGCACUGUUCCAUGUCCUAUCCCAUUCCUGUUCAGUUCCCAUUUUAGUUCUGCUCCCAAUCCUAUGUCAGUAUAUAAAUUUUAGAAUCAGUUAGGUGUAAUUAAGCCAUUAAAUAUUUUAUUAACCUUUAUGGUAAUAGUUUAUUGCUAAAAAUAGGUAUUACAAACUAUUAAUACGAUUAGUGGGUGAAUAAGGAAUGUCCCUAUAUUAUUUUAACAAGCGAAUAAGCAUCUGAGUAAAAUGAAAUAGAUAAAUAGAUAGAUUUACAAAUACAUUGGCAGUAUUGUACAAUAGUCCAGGUAUUGUAGCUGGUAUUGUUACAUGUCAUAGCUUAUCGUAACUGAUUUGUAAACAUGUACUACAGCUCUCCCCUCACACACACACACGCACAAAUAUGUGAACAUGCACACACACACACACACACACAUACUUUCAUAAACCUAGAUAUACUAUGGCCAAAUUACUAAGGCCUCAAACAAUCAGCUGAAGGCUUUAGAAUUAUAUAUGAACACCUAUUUGAGUAAUCUUCUAUCUAUCUAUUCAAAAAUAUUUCAUUUGUAAAUUUUGUUUUCUAUCUAUUUGUCUAUUACUAUUUAUAUAUAGCUUAAGGUGGCAAGCUGGUAGAAUCAUUAUCAGGUCAGGCAGAAUGCUUGACAGCAUUUCAUCCUUCUUUAUGCUCUGAAUUCAAACUCCACCAAGGUUGAUCUUGCCUUUCAUCCUUUCAGGACAGAUAAAAUAUGUAUCAGUCAAGCACUGGGGUUGAUGUAAUCGACUAUCCCCCUUUCCCAACCUUGCUGGCCUUUUGCCUAAAUUCAAAACCAUUGGAUUUGGUCAAAGUACCAAUCCUUAGAAUCAGCGAAGGGAGUGGCUAGAUUAUUUCAAUGUCUAAGUCUUUGUUUCUGCAUUUGUUUGCUCGCAGAAUGAGUUUCACCUUCCAUCCUCCAUAUAGCAGCUUAAGAAACAUCUUUCAUCAUUAAAGUCCUAACAAUGAACGUUUUUGUACUGAUUGGAAUAUCUCCAAAUUGUGCAUUUAUGCUCACUGGCUUGUUAAAUGAAAUGAUAAACACUUUCAUUCAAAGGUAUUACCAGUUUCUCUAAGAAUUCUCUUUAUUGUCACUGAUAUCACAUAAAAGGCACCCAGUACACUUUGCAAAGUGAUUGGUAUUAGGAAGGGCAUCAACCCAUAGAAACUAUGUCAAAGCACACGUUGAAACAUGUGCAGUUCUCUGGCUGACCAAUUCCUGUUGAAACAUCUAACCCAUGCCAACAUGGAAGACAUGUUAAAUGAUGAUGACAAUGAUCAUACAACUUUUUUAUUUUUACAACCACUCUACCUUCAGUGUUAAAUCCUUUCACUAUUCUCAAAAGUUGUCUUGUCACAAAUUUGACCACCAAACAGAUCUAUAAGUGAAGAUGUUCAAACUGUGACCAUCCUGCCAUUACCCUAUGAGCUGAAAACCCAUCUACAAGGGUUGGCUGAAAAGUUCAUAAGUUGACCAAAAUACUCUCAAGGAAUGUGAUGAAGUGAAGUUUAUUUUUCAACAUAGUCCCUCUUGCAGUCCACAUGCUUCUUCCAUUGGUGUUGCAGCACUUGGAUCCCAUUGGUGAAGAAGCUUUCAUCCUGUUAAUCGAAAAAGUCAUCAACAGCAGAUAUGACAUCAUCAUCAUCACUGUGAUACUAGUUUCCAGUCAAGUGUUUUUUCAUGUUGGGGAACAGAUGAUAGUAAGUUGAGGCGAAAUCAGGAGAAUAAGGAGGCUAAUCAACCAGUUCAAAGCCACAGUCAUGCACAGUAGCCAUUGGAACCAAGGUCUUGAGUGCUGAAGCAUUGUCCUGGUGAAACAAGACUCCUUCCAUCAGUUUUCUUUGUCAUUUGAUCUUAAUAGCCUUUUGUAAGUGCUUCAGCAAGUUGGCAAAGUACUUUCCAUUGAUGGUGUGGACCUUUUGAAGACAGUCAAUAAACAAUAAACACAAUGCCUUUCGCAUCACAAAAAAACUACUGCCAUCACCUUCCUUGCAGAUGAAACGACCUUUGGAUCAGGUAAGGAAGGGUGUUUCCACUCCGAAGAUUUUCUCUUCAUCUCUAGCUCAAAGAGAUGAAGCUAACACUUAUACUGAGUUAGGAAAGAUUCAAGGAAACCAGCUGGAUUUGCUUCAAACAAUGUCAUAUUUUCCCAUGAUAUGAUCAGUCUGGUGCACUUUUGAUCAGGUGUCAGAAAUUGUGGCACCCACUGAGCAGAGACCUUCAUCAUGCCAAGUUCAUUGUGCAAAAUAUUCUAAAUUCUCACACAGGAUAUUAUCAUCAUCAUCAUCAUCAUCGUUUAAUGUCUGCCUUCCAUGCUAGCAUGGGUUGAACAGUUUCACAAUAGCUGGCCAGGCAGAAGCCUGCACCAGACUUCUGUGACUGUUUUGGCAGGAUUUUUACAGAAACAAUACUUGUAGAGCAUUCUCCACCAUUGCUAAUUUGGUCACCUAGGUAACAGAAACUAUCUACAACUUCAAAAGAGCUUCCUGGGCAUUUGAGAGAAUUUAAGUCAUGUGUGCUCUUAGUAUUUAUUGUUCCUGCACAUCUGCCACAUACAAAGACUACUUUAUCUGUUAAUCUACCUGUGAUUCCACUGCACCUCUUAUGUGUCCAUACUUUACACUAGGAUCAGUGAAUGGACUUUCUUCCAACCCCUUUCCUACAUACUGAACAGAGCUAUUUACCUAAUGAAAAAUGAGUUUUAUCUUCUUACUAACAACAACUUUGGCCUUAGCUCAGUUAACUUUAAGGCCCUUUGGUUCCAGGUUUUGUUUCCAUACCUGGAAUUUCUUCUUUAAUUCUGCUAAAGAUUCUGCAAUAAGAGUAAGGUAAGAGCAUGUAAUAGUUCCCAUGGGCACCCAGUUUUGAAUUCCUCUGUUAUAGCUUGGAAGACUAUAAUGAAUAAGAGUGGGUUGAGAACUGAGCCUUGGUGAACCCCUACCUGUAUGCUAAAUUCAUCACUAUAUUCAUGGCUGACUCCCAUCUUACUGACAGCACCACUGUAUAUACCUUAAGGCGGUGAGCUAGCAGAAACGUUAGCACGCCGGACGAAAUGCGUAGCUGUAUUUCGUCUGCCGUUACGUUCUGAGUUCAAAUUCUGCCAAGGUCGACUUUGCCUUUCAUCCUUUCGGGGUUGAUAAAUUAAGUACCAGUUACACACUGGGGUCGAUAUAAUUGACUUAAUCCGUUUGUCUGUCCUUGUUUGUCCUCUCUGUGUUUAGCCCCUUGUGGGUAGUAAAGAAAUAUGUAUAUACCUUGUACAGCUCUAACAAGUCACUCCCCUACUCCUAACUUUCUUAGAGACCACCAUAUAACAGAGCAGGGAACUCUGUCAAAAGCUUUCCCCAGAUCGACGAAGGCUAAGUACAAAGGCUUACUUUUGGCCAAGUACUCUUCCGCAGCUGUCUCACUCGGAAGAUAGCAUCUGUGGUAAUCUUCCCAGGUACAAAACCAAACUGCAUCUCAUCUAUUUAAUUCUGUUUCUAAUUAAUUCAUCUAUAACCCUCUCAGUAACUUUAAUGACUUGGUCUAGCAAUUUAAUACCUCGGUAUUUGUUUCUAUCUAAGGCAUCACCUUGUAGCAGCUAACUAUAAUACUACUAGAUCAGUCAUUGAGGAUGGUGCCUUCCUGAAUAACUUGAUUAACUAUAUGGGUGACUAAACUGUAUCCUACACCACUGGAAAUUUUAAUCAUUUUGGCACUGAUUCCCUGUCUUCAUGUCCUUAAUUAUUCUUCUAUCAACUCUGAUGACUGGUUCUUCAAUUGGUUCGAUAUUUGGUAGACUCCCCUUCUCCCAUUCAUUUUCCACAUUUAGUAACCUUUCAUAAUGAGACUUCCAUGCAUCUUUCUUCACUGAGUCACUAAGAGCAAGCAUACUAUUAUCCAUUCACACACAUUUAUCACACACCACAUCUCUAUUUUGUCUGAUACACUGCUUUGCAAUCCUGAGCAAUGGCUAUUUGAUUUAUAGUAAAUUGCCUGUGAUGAAAAUGAUCAAUGUUUUCCUCAGUGGGGGCAGUUGCAUGACAUCCAGACUUUGUCAUCUUCAAGACUCUCCCUUCUUCUAAAUUCAGCUGCCCAUGUUUGCACUGUUGAUAAAGCUGGAGCAUCAUCCCCUAAAGUAGCAACUAUGUCAGCAUGAAUGUCAUUGGGGGCUAAACCUUUUUUCUGCAGGUACUUGAUAACAGCACAAUGCCAAAUUUUGUCUAUUUUCAAGAGAAGUCACUACUAGUUAAGAGAAUUGUUAGUGCGUUGGACCAAUAUUUAGUGGCAUUUUUUCCAGCUUUUUACAAUGUUAGUUUCAAUUUUGCCAAGGUCAAUUUUGUCUUCCAUCUUUUGGGAGUUGAUGAAAUCAGUACCAGUCAAGUACUGGGGUUGAUGUAAUGAACUUGCACCUUUCCCUCAAAACUGCUGGCUUUGUGCCAAAAUUAUAGAAGAUCAUUAUUAUUAUUAUUAUUAUUAUUAUUAUUAUUAUUAUUAUAAAAAAAAUGAAAAAAACAACACUUUUGUGACCUUGUAAAUUGAUCUUUCGGAUUUAUAUUUGUAUUCAUCUCUGGUAAAUGAAUCUUGUUUAUUCUCCCAAUUGGGUUUUUCUUUAUUGCAUCUAAAAUCUUAUUGACUAAAAAAUAUUUGUCUGGCUGAAUAUGAAGAUGAUCUCAUUUGUGAAAGGUGUCAACCUUCAACCAACUUUACUUAUAUAUGCACACAAUCUUUAUAGAUAAAAUUCAUAUCAUAAUAUGGAUAUAUUUUCAGCUUUCUAUAUUAAAUUCUCAUCCUGUUUGAAUAAAGAAUAUAUAGAAAAACAUUUUAUGUUGAUGGGUUUUAUUGACAGGCCCACCAUACAGAUAUUAGGAUUUAUUUUUCUUUACUUCCUAGUAAAAAGAUAUGUAUAUGCUUGCAUGAAUCAUAAACAUUUGCUUCAUAUUUACUUGUAUAUAUUGGGCAGGUCGCCAUAUAUUCAAUUUCCAUGGGAUUUUAUCUUUAACAUUUUAUCCUUAAAACUAACUACAUUUUCUCAAUUUUUCUAAAGCCUUCUUUUACUGCCUUCUUGCUAAUCUUUUAGUAAAUAAUAAUAUUAAAUUACUCAUCUGAUUCUAAUUUCUGAACAAUAUGUUCAUGGUGUUUUUGUUCAUUUACACAAGGCAUUUGAUACUAUGCACACUUUGUUAAUUAAUGUCCCUGUAAUAUUAGAAAUAUAUCAAUUACUAUGUCUCUCUAUUCUAUUUUGUGGUGCACUUUACAAGUACAUUGAUUUCAUUAUGAUGCUAAUUCACUUGUCUAAGAAAUAUCUAAAACAAUAAAAUAAAUAAAUAGUUCUUUCUAUUAUAGACACAAGACCUGAAAUUUGAAGAUGGAGAGGGGCUAGUCAAUUAUAUCAACCCAAGUGCUCAACUGGCACUUAUUCUAUUGACCCCAGAAGGAUGAAAGGCAAAGUUAAC
rnacentral:lncRNA from 1 species